rnacentral:tRNA from 1 species
GGCACGAUAGACUAAUUUAAUGUCGCCGGGUUCAUGCCCCAGAAAUGAAACCAUUUUUCUCCUGCCU